CUAACGCGUGAAGGCGAGCACUCUAGACGAACUGCCGUUGACAAAACGGAGGAAGGUGGGGAGUGACGUCAAAUCAUCAUGCCCCUUAUGUUCUGGGCUACACACGUGCUACAAUGGCCGGUACAGACGGACGCAAAGCCGCGAGGUGGAGCAAAUCCUAAAAAGCCGGUCUCAGUUCGGAUUGCAGGCUGCAAUUCGCCUGCAUGAAGUCGGAAUCGCUAGUAAUCGCAGGUCAGCAUACUGCGGUGAAUACGUUCCCGGGCCUU
rnacentral:rRNA from 1 species